UGGUUCAGUGGUAGAAUUCUCGCCUGCCAUGCGGGAGGCCCAGGUUCAAUUCCUGG
rnacentral:tRNA from 1 species